GACGUAGGGCGCGAGCGUUGUCCGGAAUUACUGGGCGUAAAGAGCUCGUAGGUGGUUUGUCGCGUUGUUCGUGAAAACUCACAGCUCAACUGUGGGCGUGCGGGCGAUACGGGCAGACUUGAGUACUGCAGGGGAGACUGGAAUUCCUGGUGUAGCGGUGGAAUGCGCAGAUAUCAGGAGGAACACCGGUGGCGAAGGCGGGUCUCUGGGCAGUAACUGACGCUGAGGAGCGAAAGCAUGGGGAGCGAACAGG
rnacentral:rRNA from 1 species